UCCUAUUAACAGACACUCAAGAAGAUGUAUUUGACGGACAAUUUGUCGACCACUCAUUUAGGUUGUUGACCGUUUGAUAGAUGAAGGAAGAACGGACAGAACCGAUUCCGAUGGAGUGCUGUACUAUGAAUGGCAUGACAAAUGCUAUCUUGGUGCAGCUCAUGGAAUAUCUGGAAUUAUGUACAUUCUCCUGAAGGCUCACUCAUUUCUGGAUUCAGCACAGAUUACAUAUGUUCGAAAGACUGUAGAUUGGCUCCUAGGUCAAUGUUUUUCUUCCGGAAAUUUGAGAUCAUCACUAGGGUCCAAAGAUGAUAAAUUGGUUCAUUGGUGUCAUGGAGCUCCUGGUGCCAUAUAUAUGUUCCUGGAAGCUUACAAAUUAUUUGGUGACAACCAAUAUCUAAAUGCCGCGAUUCAGUCGGCUGAUGUUAUUUGGAAGAGGG